AAAAAACAUUAAUAAAGGCGACUACGGCCGACGGCCGCAGCCGGAACCUAGAAAUCAUCGGCGAUGCGCGAAGCCGACGAUUGGCCGAGCGGCAGGCGGACGACAACGUCGUAGGUGACGAUAUCCGUGCCGGGAAAGAGCAGCGCGGCGAUGUAGGUGGACACGGGCGCGUAGGCCCGAUACAGGUCGAUAUGCUGGCACCGAUCUCGGAGCCGGGUGAGCGCGUCGAGCGUGGUCUCGCUGGGGUCGACCUCGCCCGCGGGCCGCGACGGCCUCUGCACCCCGCGCCUCUGCCUCCCUUGACCCGGUCCGGUGCGCAGGCGUACGGCCUUGCCCAGGGCCUCGUCGAGCGCGCGAUUGACCCUGUACCGCACGAGAUCGCGGAAUUCGCGCGCCGCCUGUGCGUCGGAUCGAGCGAUCGCAUCGAGAUCGGCCCCGAUGAUUUCGCUCUCGCUGGGCCUGAUGCCCGUGCGCCGGUUGAUGUGGAGGCGCCUGUCUUGGAGGUUGGCGACGGCGCCCGACGGCGGAGAAACGUUGAUCACGAAAAAGAGCGGCCCCGCGUCGGGAUCGUCAAAAGGCACCUGCGGCUCGUCGCCCAACUGCACAACGGCCCAGGGCUCGGCGCCGCUAAAGGGCACACGUAACGGAUAGCCAGAGAUGCCAGAGAGACCUCGUGCCCAAUCCUCCAGGUCGGCCAGGGAGACCACGUCGGGCGACCGAAGCACGUCGACGACGUCGCGGUGGGGCGCCACCUCGCUCUGAAGCGACUUGCGAAAGGACGACGACCCGCGCAGCGAUCGCGGCACCACCCUGCGCAGCGCCUGCGCGAUGCCUCGACCGCGCGCACGCACGCCGCGGUCCUCUAGCGGCGAUUGUUCUUCUCCCAAGAGGGCCACGUGCCUGGUUUGGGACGCGGCGCCCGACUCGACGUCUCUCGCGUGGGCGCGCUGGCGCUCCAAGGCGACGCGCACGAUGUGGUCGCGCACGUACAGCGCAUACAUGGCGCAGAAGCGCUCGGCGACCUCGGCGCGGCGUCUCGCCAGUGCCGUCUGCAAGAGGUUGUACUCCACCGUGCCAUGGUCGUUAUCGUCAUCGUCGUCAUCGUCGUCGUCGCUCGACACCGGUGGUGGGCCCACAGAGGGCGGCCACAGCGGACGCGACCCCACCACCGCCGCCGAGACACCAUAGGCCGACUCUAGAUCGGGAAAGUCGCGCGCCCAGUUGGCCCGCGAGGCCUGGCACAAGGCGCGUGCACGGCGGCUGCUCGAACAGAGCGCGGCGGCGUCGGCAGGCCGACCCUGGGCGAGCAGCGAGCGCACGAGGGCGUCAAACACGUCGGCGCCCAUCAUGUCGAUGAGAUCGCCCGACAAUCCCUGUUGUGCACCAUCGCUGUCUGCCCACGCGUACUGGCCCUCUUCUUCUCUUGCUCCAUCCUCGUCAUACUGUACUUGCUGGUCAUACCGUCCGUCCUCGUACCGGGCGCCCCCGUAGAGGCCAUCGCCAUUGUCAUAAAGGCCUCUGUCGUCAUAGGCACCGUCGCUGUCGCUCAGGUUGUCGUUGGUAAAUUGCAUGGCGGCGCCGGUUCCUCGUUUUUGUC
rnacentral:lncRNA from 1 species